rnacentral:piRNA from 1 species
UGAGGUACUGCGAAGCCAGGG